AAAGCGUGCGCAGGCGGUAAUGUAAGACAGAUGUGAAAUCCCCGGGCUCAACCUGGGAACUGCAUUUGUGACUGCAUUGCUGGAGUGCGGCAGAGGGGGAUGGAAUUCCGCGUGUAGCAGUGAAAUGCGUAGAUAUGCGGAGGAACACCGAUGGCGAAGGCAAUCCCCUGGGCCUGCACUGACGCUCAUGCACGAAAGCGUGGGGAGCAAACAGGAUUAGAUACCCUAGU
rnacentral:rRNA from 1 species